rnacentral:rRNA from 1 species
UACAGAGGGGGCAAGCGUUGUUCGGAAUUACUGGGCGUAAAGGGCGCGUAGGCGGCCUUCUAAGUCAGACGUGAAAUCCCCGGGCUCAACCCGGGGACUGCGUCUGAUACUGGAUGGCUUGAAUCCGGGAGAGGGAUGUGGAAUUCCAGGUGUAGCGGUGAAAUGCGCAGAUAUUGGGAGGAACACCAGUGGCGAAGGCGGCACUCUGGGCCAGUACUGACACUGAGGAGCGAAAGCGUGGGUAGCGAACAGG